CGUUUUCUGUGCCGGCCGUUUAUGCUCGAUAAUAAAAUGCACCGUUCGAUUCGCCCGUUCGCCACACGAAUCGAUAGUGUAAUAUUUAAUGGCCGUAAAAAUGGAAAAAUUACCGACGUCCUUCGCGUGUUUCCAAGUGAUAUUCGUGUAGGUUAAUUUAAUUAAAGGAACACCACGUCCAAUACAACCGUCCGCGUCUUACGUACGGAAUUUGCGUU